GACGAACGCUGGCGGCGUGCUUAACACAUGCAAGUCGAACGGUAAGGCCUUUCGGGGUACACGAGUGGCGAACGGGUGAGUAACACGUGGGUGAUCUGCCCUGCACUUCGGGAUAAGCCCGGGAAACUGGGUCUAAUACCGGAUAGGACUGCGCGGUGCAUGCCGUGGGGGGGAAAGAUUUAUCGGUGCAGGAUGGGCCCGCGGCCUAUCAGCUUGUUGGUGGGGUAAUGGCCUACCAAGGCGACGACGGGUAGCCGGCCUGAGAGGGCGACCGGCCACACUGGGACUGAGACACGGCCCAGACUCCUACGGGAGGCAGCAGUGGGGAAUAUUGCACAAUGGGCGCAAGCCUGAUGCAGCGACGCCGCGUGCGGGAUGACGGCCUUCGGGUUGUAAACCUCUUUCAGCAGGGACGAAGCGUGAGUGACGGUACCUGCAGAAGAAGCACCGGCCAACUACGUG
rnacentral:rRNA from 1 species